UACAUGGGGUGCAAACGUUGCUCGGAAUUAUUGGGCGUAAAGCGCACGUAGGCGGUUCGUUAAGUCGGAUGUGAAAGCCCUCGGCUCAACUGAGGAAGUGCACCCGAAACUGGCGAGCUUGAGUACGAAAGAGGAUCGCGGAAUUCCCGGUGUAGAGGUGAAAUUCGUAGAUAUCGGGAGGAACACCGGUGGCGAAGGCGGCGAUCUGGGUCGAUACUGACGCUGAGGUGCGAAAGCGUGGGGAGCAAGCAGG
rnacentral:rRNA from 1 species